UAGGGAAUCUUCCACAAUGGACGCAAGUCUGAUGGAGCAACGCCGCGUGAGUGAAGAAGGUUUUCGGAUCGUAAAGCUCUGUUGUUGGUGAAGAAGGAUAGAGGCAGUAACUGGUCUUUAUUUGACGGUAAUCAACCAGAAAGUCACGGCUAACUACGUGCCAGCAGCCGCGGUAAUACGUAGGUGGCAAGCGUUGUCCGGAUUUAUUGGGCGUAAAGCGAGCGCAGGCGGAAUGAUAAGUCUGAUGUGAAAGCCCACGGCUCAACCGUGGAACUGCAUCGGAAACUGUCAUUCUUGAGUGCAGAAGAGGAGAGUGGAAUUCCAUGUGUAGCGGUGGAAUGCGUAGAUAUAUGGAAGAACACCAGUGGCGAAGGCGGCUCUCUGGUCUGAAACUGACGCUGAGGCUCGAAAGCAUGGGUAGCGAACAGG
rnacentral:rRNA from 1 species